rnacentral:rRNA from 1 species
GAUGAACGCUGGCGGCGUGCCUAAUACAUGCAAGUCGAGCGAACAGACGAGGAGCUUGCUCCUCUGACGUUAGCGGCGGACGGGUGAGUAACACGUGGAUAACCUACCUAUAAGACUGGGAUAACUUCGGGAAACCGGAGCUAAUACCGGAUAAUAUAUUGAACCGCAUGGUUCAAUAGUGAAAGACGGUUUUGCUGUCACUUAUAGAUGGAUCCGCGCCGCAUUAGCUAGUUGGUAAGGUAACGGCUUACCAAGGCAACGAUGCGUAGCCGACCUGAGAGGGUGAUCGGCCACACUGGAACUGAGACACGGUCAAGACUCCUACGGGAGGCAGCAGUAGGGAAUCUUCCGCAAUGGGCGAAAGCCUGACGGAGCAACGCGGCGUGAGUGAUGAAGGUCUUCGGAUCGUAAAACUCUGUUAUUAGGGAAGAACAAAUGUGUAAGUAACUAUGCACGUCUUGACGGUACCUAAUCAGAAAGCCACGGCUAACUACGUG